rnacentral:rRNA from 1 species
CGGUGUUCAACUGGCGUGUCCGCGGGACGUCCUGCCGGUGGGCUUAGCCCGCAAGGGCGGCCCAACUUCAAAUCCCAUCGCGGUGCUCUUCACUGAGUGUCGAGGUGGGCCGGCACGUUUACUUUGAACAAAUUAGAGUGCUUAAAGCAGGCUAAAACUUCCCCUGAAUACUGUGUGCAUGGAAUAAUGGAAUAGGACCUCGGUUCUAUUUUGUUGGUUUUCGGAACCCCGAGGUAAUGAUUAAUAGGAACGGAUGGGGGCAUUCGUAUUGCGACGUUAGAGGUGAAAUUCUUGGAUCGUCGCAAGACGGACAGAAGCGAAAGCAUUUGCCAAAAACGCUUUCAUUGAUCAAGAACGAAAGUUAGAGAUUCGAAGGCGAUCAGAUACCGCCCUAGUUCUAACCAUAAACGAUGCCAGCUAGCGAUCCGUCGACGUUCCUCCGAUGACUCGACGGGCAGCUUCCGGGAAACCAAAGCUUUUGGGUUCCGGGGGAAGUAUGGUUGCAAAGCUGAAACUUAAAGGAAUUGACGGAAGGGCACCACCAGGAGUGGAGCCUGCGGCUUAAUUUGACUCAACACGGGAAACCUCACCAGGCCCGGACACCGGAAGGAUUGACAGAUUGAGAGCUCUUUCUUGAUUCGGUGGGUGGUGGUGCAUGGCCGUUCUUAGUUGGUGGAGCGAUUUGUCUGGUUAAUUCCGAUAACGAACGAGACUCUAGCCUGCUAACUAGGCGUAUUUUCGACAUCUCAAAGGUCCGUCGUCCCGGCCCUCGGGUCGUGGGCGUGCGCGAUUUUUACUGUCGGCGUACUAUCAAUUCUUCUUAGAGGGACAGGUGGCUUCUAGCCGCACGAGAUUGAGCAAUAACAGGUCUGUGAUG